UACGUAGGUGGCAAGCGUUAUCCGGAUUUACUGGGCGUAAAGGGUGUGCAGGCGGGCGGGCAAGUGGUGUAUGAAAUAUCCUGGCUCAACCAGGAGAGGUUAUGCCAGACUGACCGUCUUGAGUGCGAGAGAGGGGCGUGGAAUUCCGGGUGUAGUGGUGAAAUGCGUAGAGAUCCGGAGGAACCCCAGAGGCGAAGGCGGCGCCCUGGCUCGCAACUGACGCUCAUACACGACAGCAUGGGGAGCGAACGGG
rnacentral:rRNA from 1 species